AGCGAACGCUGGCGGCGUGCUUAACACAUGCAAGUCGAGUGCGCAGUUUCCUGUAGCAAUACAGGAAAUGGGCGCACGGCGCACGGGUGCGUAACACGUGGGCAAUCUACCCUUUGAUGGGGAAUGACCCGCCGAAAGGCGGGCUAAUACCGCAUAACAUCCCAGUCGCUUCGGUGAUAGGGAUCAAAGCCCGCAAGGGCGUCAUUGGAGGAACCCGCGGCCGAUUAGCUAGUUGGUGAGGUAAUGGCUCACCAAGGCUUGGAUCGGUAGCCGGUCUGAGAGGACGAUCGGCCACACUGGAACUGAGACACGGUCCAGACUCCUACGGGAGGCAGCAGUGGGGAAUCUUGCGCAAUGGGCGAAAGCCUGACGCAGCGACGCCGCGUGGGGGAUGAAGCUUCUCGGAGUGUAAACCCCUUUCGACCCGGACGAAUGACCCGCAAGGGUUUGACGGUACGGGGAGAAGAAGCCCCGGCUAACUACGUGCCAGCAGCCGCGGUAAGACGUA
rnacentral:rRNA from 1 species